UUUUUUAUUUAUAAAAUAGAACUCAUAAUAUUAAUAAUAUAUUUUUUUAUAGACUUUUUUUUUACUCUUUUUAAAAAAAAAGCAUAAAUCUAGAAAAAUAAUAUUUGUCUAAAGAAUGUUUAAUUAAAAAACAAAAAUUAAAAAAUGCAAUUUUUUUGAUUUCUUUUUUUUGUAAAAAAAAUAGAAAUAAAAGGUAAAAACAUGAAAGUUGAGAUAUGGAGUU
rnacentral:lncRNA from 1 species